UCAUACACAUCUGGGAUGGCAUGAGGGUGAGUAAAUCAUGAGAGAAUUUUCAUUUUUGGGUGAACUAUCCCUUUAAGUCUCACAAGUCUACAACAUAUUAGUUCACUCGGAGCAAGUGUGUAUGUUCUGUACUCCGUGUUGGGUAGUAAAGGACUUAACAUGGAUUACAUAGUCAGAUUACAAAAAUCAAGUACUUUUUAUUAAAUUACAUUUCAUGUGUAAAUGUGCGUGAUUAGAUAAAUUACUUUUUGUGGAUUAUAUGAUUGCAUAUUAAUUACAUAACUGAUCAGUCUUGACUUUCAAACAGUGUAAAUUCCCUAAAGGAUAUGGAGCUUUCCUUUAAUACAUUGGAAAUUAGAUUCUCAUCAAAACAUACAUACCAGAUUACAUCUCAGAAGUAAUCUAACCCAACACUGUCUGUGCUAUCAUAAUGUGAGGAAGCCAUUGGUCAUUCCUCAGGAAGGAGUGUGUUUUAGCAGCAAUCCCAGGUUUGCUGGACUAGAGGUGUUGCAGGUCUUGUCAUAAAGAGAUUUGAAGUCUUCCAUUGGAAGGAAAAUGGAAGCUGUUUCUAGUUUCUUUUUCACUUUCCAUUGGGCAGAAAGAUCCACGACCACAGAACCACUGGAUUGGAUUCAAGCUACUGUUCAAAAACAUUGACUGAGUGGAUGAAGGUUGCCAUAUUGCUGAGUCAGUGUUGUUGUUUCCAUAGUUUCGCAGCUGUGGAUUUAAUGGACCUUGUGUAUAUGACGCCAUGCAGAAAUGUUGAUCAAGACUGCUAGAGAAUAAUUUUAAUGGCAUAUCCAAUACUGAAGUUCGAUUUUCUUGGAAUUACGAAGGAUAACGGAGGAUUCUGACCAGAGAUGGGAGAGGAAGUAGUGUUUUGCACCUUACUUAGUAGAGAAAAAAAACAUAUAUAUAUAUAUAUAUAUAUAUAUAUAUAUAUAUAUAUAUAUAUAUAUAUAUAUAUAUUAAAGAAAA